rnacentral:rRNA from 1 species
AUGAGGAGCCCCCCAACGGCUGUCAUGACGGUGGCAGCGCUGCUGCUGCUGCUGGUAUGCCUGACGGCGGCGACGGAGGACACGACGGCCAAGGAGAGGGAGUGGGAGAGGAUCCAGGAGUUGCACGAUCGGGUCUUGGCGGACUGGAAGGCAGGGCACGGCAAGAACAUCAGGAGCGAGGAGGAGAGUCGACGGGCGUUUGCCCAGUGGAAGGCCGAGUACCGCAAGAAGUACAGCUCCGCUCGCGAGGAGGAACUCCGUUACGCUUUCUUCAAGGAGAGCCUCCGCACGGUCGAUCUGCACAAUGCCGCCUUUGGCCCCAACUCAGUUUACAGCAUAAAAAACGGGCUGUUCAGCGACCGCAGCGAUGAGGAGUGGCGCUGCCUGAGCCAGGGAAUGUCGCCAUAUAUACCAAGAGAAGAACCUAAUCCACAAAUGCUUCCAAACUACUCCCUCCGUUCCUAA